rnacentral:rRNA from 1 species
AUUGAACGCUGGCGGCAUGCUUUACACAUGCAAGUCGAACGGCAGCGCGGGCUUCGGCCUGGCGGCGAGUGGCGAACGGGUGAGUAAUACAUCGGAACGUGCCCCGUAGUGGGGGAUAGCUCGGCGAAAGCCGGAUUAAUACCGCAUACGACCUGAGGGUGAAAGCGGGGGAUCUUCGGACCUCGCGCUAUUGGUGCGGCCGAUGGCAGAUUAGCUAGUUGGUGGGGUAAAGGCCUACCAAGGCGACGAUCUGUAGCUGGUCUGAGAGGACGACCAGCCACACUGGGACUGAGACACGGCCCAGACUCCUACGGGAGGCAGCAGUGGGGAAUUUUGGACAAUGGGCGAAAGCCUGAUCCAGCAAUGCCGCGUGUGUGAUGAAGGCCUUCGGGUUGUAAAGCACUUUUGGCGGGAACGAAAAGGACUGUGCCAAUACCACGGUUCGAUGACGGUACCCGCAGAAUAAGCACCGGCUAACUACGUG